GGGGAUGUAGCUCAGUUGGGAGAGCGUUUGACUGGCAGUCAAAAGGCCGAGGGUUCGAUUCCCUUCAUCUCCA
rnacentral:tRNA from 1 species